rnacentral:ncRNA from 1 species
UGGAACAAUGUAGGCAAGGGAAGUCGGCAAAAUGGAUCCGUAACCUUGGGAAAAGGAUUGGCUCUGAGGGCUGGGCACGGGGGUCCCAGUCCUGAACCCGUCAGCUGCCGGUGCACUGCUCAAGCUGCUUUCGCGGUGAGAGCGGGUCGCCUCAUGCUGGCCGUGGGACGGACUGGGAACGGCUCCUUCGGGGGUCUUCCCCGGGCGACGAACAGUCGACUCAGAACUGGUACGGACA